AUUGAACGCUGGCGGCAGGCCUAACACAUGCAAGUCGAGGGGUAGCAGGUCCGUAGCAAUACAGAUGCUGACGACCGGCAAACGGGUGCGGAACACGUACAGAACCUUCCUUCGAGUGGGAGAUAGCCCAGGGAAACUUGGAGUAAUAUCCCAUAGGAUCAUAGAGUGGCAUCACUUAGUGAUUAAAGAUUUAUCGCUUGAAGAUGGCUGUGCGGCUGAUUAGGUAGUUGGUGUGGGUAACGGCGCACCAAGCCUUCGAUCAGUAACUGGUGUGAGAUCACGACCAGUCACACGGGCACUGAGACACGGGCCCGACUCCUACGGGAGGCAGCAGUGAGGAAUAUUGGACAAUGGGCGCAAGCCUGAUCCAGCCAUGCCGCGUGCAGGAAGACGGUCCUAUGGAUUGUAAACUGCUUUUGUACGGGAAGAAACACUCCUACGUGUAGGAGCUUGACGGUACCGUAAGAAUAAGGAUCGGCUAACUCCGUGCCAGCCGCCGCGGUAAGAC
rnacentral:rRNA from 1 species